AAAGAAACUAACAAGGAUUCCCUUAGUAACUGCGAGUGAAGAGGGAAGAGCUCAAAUUUAAAAUCUGGCAGUGUUUUGCUGUCCGAGUUGUAAUCUAGAGAAGUGCUGCCCGUGCUGGACCAUGUACAAGUCUCCUGGAAUGGAGCGUCACAGAGGGUGAGAAUCCCGUCUUUGACAUGGACUACCAGUGCAUUUGUGGUGUGCUCUCAAAGAGUCGAGUUGUUUGGGAAUGCAGCUCUAAAUGGGUGGUAAACUCCAUCUAAAGCUAAAUAUUGGCGAGAGACCGAUAGCGAACAAGUACCGUGAGGGAAAGAUGAAAAGAACUUUGGAAAGAGAGUUAAACAGUAUGUGAAAUUGUUGAAAGGGAAACGCUUAAAGUCAGUCGUGUCGGCCAGGGAUCAACUCAGCUUUCUCUGCUGGGUGUACUUCCUGAUCUGAUGGGCCAACAUCAGUUUUGACUGCUGGAGAAGGGCAGAGGGAAUGUGGCACCUUCGGGUGUGUUAUAGCUCUCUGUCAGAUGCAGUGGUUGGGACUGAGGAAAGCAGCAUGCCGCAAGGCCGGGUCGUUUCGACCACGUUCAUUGCUGAGGAUGUUGGCAUAAUGGCUUUAAUCGACCCGUCUUGA
rnacentral:rRNA from 1 species